UACAGAGGGGGCAAGCGUUGUUCGGAAUUACUGGGCGUAAAGGGCGCGUAGGCGGGCUGACAAGUCUGGGGUGAAAUGCCGCGGCUCAACCGUGGAACUGCCUCAGAUACUGUCGGCCUCGAGGAAGGUAGGGGCAUGCGGAACUGUAGGUGGAGCGGUGAAAUGCGUUGAUAUCUACAGGAACUCCGGUGGCGAAAGCGGCGUGCUGGACCUUUUCUGACGCUGAGGCGCGAAAGCUAGGGAGCAAACGGG
rnacentral:rRNA from 1 species